ACCUGCAAGUACAAAUUAAACUUAAGCUCUGAAGUAUAAGCCCUUGCUGGGGUUCAAUUCAAGUGCUAUGUAAGCAAACUGAUACAAAUUGAUCAAUGUGAGCAAGAGCGAAAAACAUGAAUACAUCGAAACAAGCCCAAGCAAUAUAAUAUACGCAGCGACUGUGCUUUCCAUGACUAA